rnacentral:tRNA from 1 species
GCGGAAGUGGCGAAAUUGGUAGAUGCACCAGAUUUAGGUUCUGGCGCCGCGAGGCGUAAGAGUUCAAGUCUCUUCUUCCGCACCA